CCAAUAGCGUAUAUUAAAAUUAGAGUGUUUAAAGCAGGCUCGCGCUUGAAUACAUUAGCAUGGAAUAAUGAAAUAGGAUGUUUGAUUCUAUUUUGUUGGUUCCUAGGAUCGACGUAAUGAUUAAUAGGGAUAGUUGGGGGCAUUAGUAUUCAAUUGUCAGAGGUGAAAUUCUUGGAUUUAUUGAAGACUAACUACUGCGAAAGCAUUUGCCAAGGAUGUUUUCAUUAAUCAAGAACGAAAGUUAGGGGAUCGAAGACGAUCAGAUACCGUCGUAGUCUUAACCAUAAACUAUGCCGACUAGGGAUCGGAUGAUGUUGAUUUUUUAAUGACUCAUUCGGCGCCUUACG
rnacentral:rRNA from 1 species